rnacentral:rRNA from 1 species
GCCAGCGGCGAUACUGCGUUGAAUACACCAGUUCCUGAUGGGUCACUAAAGUUAAGCAACCUUGAGCGUGGUUGGUAUCCGGAUGGGUGACCAUUUGAGCAAUCGCGUGCUGCUGGCU